rnacentral:rRNA from 1 species
GGGGGGGGGGGGGGGGGGGGGGGGGGGGGGGGGGGCGGGGGGGGGGGGGGGGGGUGCGCGUGGAGGCAGCGGCGGACGGGGGAGUAAUGCGGAGGGAUCUGCCUGGCAGGGGGGGAUAACGUCCGGAAACGGGCGCUAAUACCGCAUACGUCCGGAGGGAGAAAGUGGGGGAUCUUCGGACCUCACGCUAUCAGAUGAGCCUAGGUCGGAUUAGCUAGUUGGUGGGGUAAAGGCCUACCAAGGCGACGAUCCGUAACUGGUCUGAGAGGAUGAUCAGUCACACUGUAACUGAGACACGGUCCAGACUCCUACGGGAGGCAGCAGUGGGGAAUAUUGGACAAUGGGCGAAAGCCUGAUCCAGCCAUGCCGCGUGUGUGAAGAAGGUCUUCGGAUUGUAAAGCACUUUAAGUUGGGAGGAAGGGCAGUAAGUUAAUACCUUGCUGUUUUGACGUUACCAACAGAAUAAGCACCGGCUAACUUCGUG